rnacentral:rRNA from 1 species
UACAGAGGGGGCAAGCGUUGUUCGGAAUUACUGGGCGUAAAGGGCGCGUAGGCGGCCGCCUAAGUCAGACGUGAAAUCCCUCGGCUCAACCGGGGGAACUGCGUCUGAUACUGGGUGGCUUGAAUCCGGGAGAGGGAUGCAGAAUUCCAGGUGUAGCGGUGAAAUGCGUAGAUAUCAGGAGGAACACCAAUUGCGAAGGCAGCUCGCUGGGACGUUACUGACGCUGAGACGCGAAAGCGUGGGGAGCAAACAGG